UACAAACAAGCGCUAGCACUGGCAAGGACGGCAGGCCAUAACAGAACCUGUCUGUGCCACACGGUGUCCUAAUAGCGCGUUCACCACAACACACUUAGGACCUACAAACCGUCAAAACCGUUGGAAUCCAAAAAAAAAACUACCGCAAACCAAAUUUACGUUCACCAAAUUUCCGAAAAACCAAAUUUCCGAAACCACGCUCUGCUACCAUUUGAGCCCCCCCGAGGAGGGAAAUUGCCAUAUUUCGUUACUGAGGCCACGAUCGUCCCAGGCCGGGAGGUGGUACGGCUUGGGGAGGGUAAAACGGUGAAAGUUAAAAGAAAACCAAAUGAAACUGCUUCGAAUAAUCGAAGUGUAUUAUUUAAUGAAAAAUAUAAAAUAAACAGAAUCAAGACAACUUUCAAGGCUCAAACUCCGGCUGGGUAUCCGACUCCAGAUGCCUCAACCUCCCACAAACCCUGACUUGCCUUCAGACUUUCUCCUCGAGUCGUUCUCUCCGGCGGACACACACAGACUGCCCUUCUGCCCUGCUGUCUCAUCAGGGUCUCGAUGCCGCCGACUCCAAAGACCUUGGAGAGGGGAGAUAAGCCACUUCGAGCCAUGAGGCAUGGCUCACUACACAUGAAAUGGAAGUGACCAAUUCAUACACAUUAACUUAGCAAACUUCUAUGAAGUUGUCCUUUAUUUAAAGGCAUUUUGAAGCAGUUGUGAUAGUGCAGUUUUAUUCUUUGCUGAAGACCAGUUUGGCGUGGAUCCUCACCCUCAAUUACCAUGCACUCAGCCUCACAAGACUGGCGACACUUUCAAGAAUCAAGUGACACAGUGGCUUCUACACCUAAACGUGAACCUCAUGUUGCACCAUUCUAAGACCAGGUGAGAUAUCUUAUUUAAUUUUAGAAGCAACCUACUUACGUCAUCCGUUAACCAAUAUUUCUACAAUUUUAUGUGUGUCCUGACAGUGGAACUCCGUGUCGAUGUUGGUAAUCUAGAUUGUAACGUCAUGAAAAUGUGCAAGUAGAUGCUCCAGUCUCUUCCUCACUGUGUCAGAUGUCCUUCGAAGGACAUCUUGGCUGGUUCAGAGGCCUUUCAUUUGUUUCAGUUCCAAUUAUCUUAAAUUUCUGUGGCUUUUCUUUAGUUUUAUUCUGUUGAAACCAUCUUUUCUUAAUAUUUUUCAUUCUCUGUUAAUUUCAACUGCCUGUAUAACUACUUACAGUUAUGCCAACAAACACAGUUGCAAUACUUAUGGUUUCAGCAGUCUCAGAUCAUAUUUUUGUUCUCUUGGGGUCGGUUGGUGAAUAUAGUGACUCAAAACAUGACGUUCGUGCCGUCGUGCGUCAUGCGCUGGAAGUUUUUAGAAGAGUGGGCUGUUUAUUUCUCAGUGCUCUGAGUUUUUACCCAGCAAUGAUAUUUUGUGUUAUGUCUGCUUUUUUCUGUUGGUUUGUCCCAUUCAGUGUAUGGCUUAUUUUCAAAAAUAUCAAUAACUCAGAUUAUUUGGCAUCCUGUGCUAAGCUAUUCAGUGAAUGAUGCACUGUAAAUAUGUGCAAGGAAGAACAUUUUGCCUCACUUAAGAUAAUGUCCAAUAUUUUCAUUGACUAACUGAGGAAGACCUGAAUGAGUAUAGCUGUUGUGUGGACUGAGAUUUCUUCAAUGUAGUUUUCAGACACAUUUAGUUUAAAUGAGAUUUUAAUAUUGACCUUCCAUACAAUGUUACAAUGGCAUGAAGGACUCAGAUGUCUGAUGUGAGUACCUCCACUCAUGAAUGCAUUAACUCCCCCAUAAAGGUAAUCACUAAGCAGGUUUACUUUGUCAUUUUGGCACUCAAUGUUUUCUCAGUAUCUCUCAGCCUUUGCUCUGGAAAUUUUACUUACAGAAUUGGUUUCUGUUCACAGAAUUUCUUGUUUCAGGUUACAUAAUUAAGUUGAAGUUUUGUGAAUUAUGGUACAGUUUAGCAUAAAUGUAGUUUAUUUACUUCGAUAAUGAGAAAUCUAUUACUUUCCACUGUAAAGACUUAUGUUCAGAUAUUUUGUCCACACUGAAUUUCUUAAUCCAAGUUUGAAUAUUCUCAUUUAUAACACUGUGUAUGAAGUAUGUGGUGCUGUCUUCCAUCACUAGUGCCAUAAUUUCUCCAGGUAUGUAUGACUGCCUCACACACUUCUAGUUUACUUUAUACAACAUUCAUAUCUGUUAAAAUAAUAAAAAUAAUUAGUGUUAGUGCCCUAACAAAGAAUGUGAUUCUGAAUUUGUCAUUAGCAGCCUCUGCAUGUACUGCCUUUGACCACUCCUUGAAAUCUCUGAAGAUCAUCCUGGGGAUGCUGGUGACACCAGCAGGAUGGACAUUCAACAAAGUGGCAGGAGUGGAAAAUCCAGUAGGAAUGACAGCACCUCAAGUUGACAGGAAGACAGGGCAUCAGUUGAGAAGACUGCAGAGGUCCAGUGACUUAACGCCGAAGAAAGUCUUCUGAAUGGAUGAAGACAUCAGAGUGGUGAAGAAGAAUCAUCUUCAAUGCCUAUCCUGUGCGUGCUUGCAGGAAUUCACAGCCAGUCCAUUUAUUCUCCAUCGCAGUACUGUAUAACUGGACUUCACAAUGUGUAACUUUGGCUUACAGGAAUAAGCAGUGUAGAAUGUUGAAGGUUUUCCAAAGUUUUGGCAAACACUUGUGCUGCUAUCAUCAGGGUGGAUGUCUUUCACAAAAUUCUAAAGCUUCUUCUUGACUUGGCUUUGUGGACUUGAUUAGAAUAACUGAGGAGAAAUGAUCUAUUCAAUGUGGCCAGGUGUACUGCUAGCUUCCAGUUGCUUAUCUGUUGAUCUGUGCUAAUUGUUAUGCAUAGCUAUGUGCCAAAUUCCCAAUCUUUUGAUGAUUAUAGUAUUUUUGGACAUUCUUUCUUGGUGGAUUUCUCUUUUUUAAUAGAAAAGUUUGCAUUUGUUUCUCUAAUCCUGUUCCAAGAAUGAAAUGGAAAUUCAUUCUGAUACUGCUCAGCUUCAUAAAAAAAUUUAUAGUGGUAUUGGGCUCAGAACUUGAAAUACUUUAACAUCAAAGCACCACAUAAUCUGUGAAAUAUAACUCAUCUCAAUUUAA